GGCGCGUUAGUCUAACGGUUAGGACGCCGCCCUCUCAAGGCGGUGAUACGAGUUCGACUCUCGUACGCGCUA
rnacentral:tRNA from 1 species